rnacentral:rRNA from 1 species
UACGUAGGGAGCAAGCGUUAUCCGGAUUUACUGGGUGUAAAGGGCGAGUAGGCGGGCCGACAAGUUGGGAGUGAAAUCCGGGGGCUUAACCCCCGAACUGCUUUCAAAACUGUUGGUCUUGAGUGAUGGAGAGGCAGGCGGAAUUCCCAGUGUAGCGGUGAAAUGCGUAGAUAUUGGGAGGAACACCAGUGGCGAAGGCGGCCUGCUGGACAUUAACUGACGCUGAUGAGCGAAAGCGUGGGGAGCAAAC